CUCUCUCUCUCUCUCUCUCUCUCUGGUUCUCUUUCCUAUGCUCCCUUCAUUUCUUCCUCACACUCCUCUCUUUAAGACAUGGGGGAGAUUGCUGGAGCUAAGCUGAAAAAGCACGGCAGUGAAGAAGGGAAAGGGAAGGAAAAAGGAGACGAAAAAAAAAAACCUUUCGGCUGCUUUUUCUGCUGCAAGGGCCUCCCCACCAGCGGGCCUAGCCAGAAAGGGAGGGCUUCUGCUCUCCUAAUAGGAUUUAACCCUCUGUCUACAGCCGCUGCACUGCAGCCGAACCAAAACCUGCCAACAAGUCACACUCUCCAGCGCAGAGCUUGAGGUCUCAUGCACCAGUUUUCGACACUGGAGAUUAUUUUUUUGUUUCGGUUUGGUUUCGAUUCCUUCGUUUUAAGUCUCGCGAUGAAUAUCAUUUGUAGCUUUUUUUUUUUUCUUUCCUUUUUUUUGAGCAAGCUUUGGAACGUGGGAUCUCUUUGGACAUAGAGGUCUAUACAGUAGUUCUGACAGGGCUAGUGGUGUACGGGAGCUGUGUCUGGGAGAGAUGCCAAUCGCUCACAAAAGACUGAACCCAAAGAGAGAAAAAAAACCAUUCGGGCCACCGGACCAAAAGCAGAGCACAGAUUUUAUAUGUUUUAUUUAUUUUUUUGUUGACGUGUUACACAGACACGUGAGAGGGAGCGUGGAGGGGAACGUGGCUCCGCUUUCUGUGGCGGAUUCUUCAUGCAUCUCUCGCAGAAUUAAAAACCCUCUCUGGAACACAUGCUUAGAGGGAGCACUGUACUUCCAAGAAGCUGGUCGUGCUGAUGGUUCAGAAGCCCAAGAGGCAAGAGAGAAAGGCACAUCUGAGAAACGCCAAGAGGGGAGGGAAAGGAGGAAAGAAGAAAAACGGAAGGAGGAGGAGGGGAGGACCUUUUCCAGCCUGUUAAAUGUUCCCCAGGCCCAGCCAGGGCGAAGGCAGGCACUGCAUGCUGAUUUGCAUUCAGCGGACAUGCUAAUUGUGUGUUUUGUAACAUACUCCAUUCAUUCGGACGAGGCUCUAGUCUACAGACGGGCUUCAUACACGCCUCCCAGACACCCGCGUGGCCUCCUAUUGUUGCUGAGGCCGCUUUAACCGAGCCGAACAGCUCCAGGCCCGGGCCAAGGCACGAUGCAGAGCACGGGGGAAGCCUGGAUCUCUAGGCUGCUGUGGAGAGAGGACAGAACGGGGAAACUGUUAGCUAGAGCUCGCUUCUCAGAUCCGGAGUUCCUCUAUCAUCUCUUUCUCCCUCCACAACGAAGAAGAUAUUGCAGGGAAAAAAGAAACCUCACUGAGAAGGAAAAGAGGCCUGUAGGAAUUCGAACCCGAGUAUCCGAAACACUUUUAGAGGUUUGAGGGUUAGAUUUCUGUGUGUGUGAAGCUCGAUCCUGUCCUACACACACACGAGGCUUUCUGCUCAGAUGGAGGCGAGCAAUGUUGAGGCACACUGGAGGGAUGCACCAACAGACAACCUGGAACCUUCCUAGAGGACGAUGAUUUGCUUGAUCCAGGGAGACACAGGCGGCGAGGAAGAGAACGGAUUCAGAGGUGUAUUGCAACACAGUGCUGGUGUCCUCAUGUUCAGCACCCCAGGGAAAUUGGCGAAGGUUCUGCUUCACUUUAAGUCAGGAGUAGCUUGAGCACAGGCAGUGAGCCAAAGGAUUUCAACCCAUCAUGUGCUGAAUAGAACAGGGCCAGGAACAAACCCUAGCCCCCUGAGUCCUGUACUCCACCCAGGAUAUGGAGAACAAACAUGUCGACCCCAUUGUCCAUGUACUCAUCCAGCCCAAAGCAUUCAACAACUUUUUAGUUAUUUAAUGACAUGAAAAAUAUACACACAUAGAUUGGAUUCAAGGCUUGUAUGAUGAUUUAAAGUGGGGAGACAAAAGCUUUCUGUAGACAUAUUUCAGCUGCGCCAUCUGUUGGUACGUACUGACACCAUGCUCGUACUCCACAUUCAAAAAGUCUCAAAUCCAACCUAUUUAUUUCAUUUCACAAUUAGCAUGGGUUUUAUUUCUGAGCCUGGUUCAUCUCAAUGUUUCUUAAUUAUAGCAUCUUGGGGACUUUUUCCUUUGCCGCUCCCUACACUGGCUUGCUCAUUAGGAAUUCUGACAUGGAUUUUGGUCUAGAGAAAGACUUCUGUCUCAUAUAAAAUAUGUAGGAGGAUUGAAAUAGAAAAAAAACAAAGCAUAACUAUGAAGAGAAGGAAAAUACCCAAAGCGAGCUGUUGUUUUAUUAUUAGGUUGCAUGACAGUAUGAAGAUGUUUUACAGUAUGAAACAUUAGAUUUGUGCCUUAACACACCAAACAUUAAACUAAAGAAAAUUCUACAUACAUAUAUAUUUUUAUAAAGCUGGAUUAUAACUUUGCAUUUUUUCCUACACAUACAUUUCUUAAAGUGUCUGUAAUUUUAAAGACUAUAUUGACACAUAAAUAAAUUGCCAAUUAAAAGAAGCAGACCGAAACCAGUUCACAGAAGCCCAACAAGCGCAUCCAUAUGCAUUUAGUUAUAGUUAUAGUUAUAGUUAUAUAUAAUGUUGCAGUAAGAUAAUAUUUUGAUAUACAGUAAUAUACACUAUACAUCUAUUAGUUCAAUGCAUUUUGUUUAUAACCACAAAUCCAGGAAUAUAAAAAAAUAUACAUAGGAUAAAAGCUGAAAAAAAAAAUCUUAUGUGUGUGUAUAUGUGUGUGUAUGUGUGUACGUAUGUGUGUGUGUGUGUGUGUGUGUGUGUGUGUGUGUGUGUGUGUGUGUGUGUGUGUGUGUGUGUGUGUGUGAGGUGGAUUUGCCAUAUGGGAUUUGAUAGGGAUGACAUAUUAGGGCCACAGGAAUCUGGGGCAUUCAAGCAUUCAAAGCCACAGUCUCACCUAAACUGGACAGUUUAAGAUUAGAAACAAAAACCACUUGGUCUUUUUCCAAUCUGUUCCAACUGGAUUUUUUGGCAUCCAUCUCAACAUUUGAUGUUUUGUGCAUACUGAUAUGUUUUUCUGCUCCCUACUGUUGUAAAAAGUGAUUGUUUGAUUUACAAUAUCUUUCCUGUAUUGAACCAUUUUCCUGUCAACUCUUUUGUUUCCACCCAGAGAGCUGUUUCUCAGUCAGUGGUUUGCUUCACCAUUCAGUAUAAACUCUAGAAACAUUUGUGUAUGAAAUUCCCUAGAAACCAGCAAUCUAUGAAAUAGUCAGUCCAGCCCAUCUGGUGCCAACAUCAAUGCCACAAUCCAAGUCACAGAGAUCGCACUUUUCCCCCUAUUCUUAUAUUUAAUGUGACCAUUAGCUGUCACUCUACACUUGUAUCAGCAUGGUUCUAUUUAUCUAUUUAUCUUUGUGAUGCUGCCACACGAUUAGCUCCAUAAAUAACCACAUGAAUGUGCAGAUGUAUACAACAUGUCUGUAUAUCAUGUUAAUGCCAGAAUUAACGUUGCUUCAUACAGAGAAGCCUACAAACAUGGUCCGAAGGCUACAACAGUCAUCACAAACUCUGUCACGUUCACUUUUACCUUCCUGCUGAUCUCACGCUAAAUGUUACCUACUUCCUGUAACCUGACUUUGAUUAUGCCUCAUAAAUCACAUUUAAAUAACAGGGAUUAAGUCAUUGAUAUCUGAUGGCAAUUUACUACAGCAAAACAUGUUGUAGAAUAUAUUCAGUUUUAAAAAAUAAAAAAUCUGUAACCAAAAUAUUCUAAAAGAAAACAAAAUCCAAUAUGAACAGAUGGAGAAGAAA